GGGAAAGUGGCUCAGUGGUAGAGUGUUUGCCUUGCAAGCAUGAGGCCCUGGGUUCAAUUCCUCAGCACCA
rnacentral:tRNA from 1 species